rnacentral:lncRNA from 1 species
UCCUCUCAGUUUGCUAUUUUUAUUAUUUUUUUCAGCCUAUUUUUCUCUCAAUGGGCCAUUCUUUUUCUUUUCAGCCUCUUUUCUUUCUUUUCUUUCUUUUUUUCUUUUUUUUGAAUAUUCAUCAAAAGCUUUCUUGACUUUCAAUUGAUCAUCAUGGAUAUCUUUUGGUGAUAAAGUAAGAAUGUGAUUCAAACCAUCCAUG